CAGUUACAGACUGAAGAACAUAUCCCACAGAUCAAUGCGUCAACAUCUGCAAAUGAAGCUGAUAUCAGAAUCGAAAUGAUGAUGGUACUACACGAGAUGCUCAUGGAAAAGGUAUCAGUUUGCUUUUCUCCUCCCACGAGCAGUACAAAGUGUGGGUUCAACUUUAAUCUGAUAGAAGAUAUCGUAUGCGGAACCCAAGCCCGGCUAUGUCUGUACAUAAUAACGAAAGAAACCGGUUAUGCUGCGAGGGCGUUUAGCUCGAUAGAUGUUGAAAAUGCCCACAGCAUUAUA